rnacentral:rRNA from 1 species
AAUCAACGCUGGCGGCGUGCCUCAGACAUGCAAGUCGAACGAUUAAAGCUCUCUUCGGAGAGUGCAUAGAGUGGCGCACGGGUGAGUAACACGUAAGUAAUCUACCUUCGAGUGGGGAAUAACGUCCGGAAACGGACGCUAAUACCGCAUAAUGCAGCGGCAUCGCAAGAUGACAGUUGUUAAAGAUUUAUCGCUUGAAGAGGAGCUUGCGGCAGAUUAGCUAGUUGGUAAGGUAAUGGCUUACCAAGGCUACGAUCUGUAACCGGUCUUAGAGGACGGUCGGUCACACUGACACUGAAUAACGGGUCAGACUCCUACGGGAGGCAGCAGUCGGGAAUUUUGGGCAAUGGGCGAAAGCCUGACCCAGCAACGCUGCGUGAAGGAUGAAGUAUUUCGGUAUGUAAACUUCGAAAGAAUGGGAAGAAUAAAUGACGGUACCAUUUAUAAGGUCCGGCUAACUACGUGCCAGCCGCCGCGGUAAUAC